GAUAAGGUGAUUAAAAUUGUUUUUAGUUUUAAAUCAAUUCUUUAAUUCUUAUUGGUUGUAAAAUAAUAUUAACCUUCGUAUAGGAAACAUAAUACUGAAACAACGUGUUGAAAUACGGUUAAAUUACGGUUAAUCGUCUGUUUGAGGUCAUGUUCGGAGUUAUGUCCUCCAGCGACGUAAGUUGAGAGCCCCUCAUAGGAGCUGGGGGUUGGAGAUUUACAGUUUAUAGGAGGAAAAAUGUGUAAACGUACUCAAACUACUACAUUUUGGGAAAACCCAUUACGUUUUGAAAAUGAAUAAUGAGUUUGAAUUUCCAUUAAACGCCACACUC